rnacentral:rRNA from 1 species
AAUCGAUGAUACGCGAGGAACCUUACCUGGCUUAAAUGUAGAGUGCAUUUUUUAGAGAUAGAAAUUCCCUUCGGGGCUUUCUGCAAGGUGCUGCAUGGUUGUCGUCAGCUCGUGCCGUGAGGUGUCGGGUUAAGUCCCAUAACGAGCGCAACCCUUAUCGUUAGUUGCCAUCUGGUAAUGCAGGGGACUCUAGCGAAACUGCCACCGUAAGGUGAGAGGAAGGUGGGGAUGACGUCAAAUUAGCACGGCCCUUAUGUCCAGGGCUACACACGUGUUACAAUGGUCGGUACAGAGGGCAGCUACCUGGUGACAGGAUGCUAAUCUCGAAAACCGGUCUCAGUUCGGAUCGAAGUCUGCAACUCGACUUCGUGAAGCUGGAUUCGCUAGUAAUCGCGGAUCAGCAUGCCGCGGUGAAUACGUUCCCGGGCCUU